CUCUUCUCGAUUACAAUAUACCCCUAAUAACCUUUCAACCCCCAAUUCAAAACCCAAAAUCUUCAAAUUUUCACCACUUCGGUUCUAAAUCACCAAAUUCCCCAAAUUCAUCCAUCAAUUCACCAAAAUUCGGAUCCUGUCGCUAGAAAGACACAAAUCCGGUCGAUCGUCACUCAUCUCCGACGCGAAUCACCGGCGAUGCACAUGAGAUGCUUUUCCUCUUUUAUUCCCCAAUCUACUAUCACCAUCAGCAGGCGUCAUUUUAACAAAUUUCUAGGGUUUCUCAAGCUCUUUCAACAGUCGUGAUUUCUAGGGUUCAUCCUGAUUCCAGUAUGAUGAUCAAUCUCUAUUCUAAUUCAACUGCAUCUUCUUCUUCCAUUGCUUCUAUCGGCUCUCGGAUUCGUGUCAAUUAUAAGCUGGUUAUUGUUACGGCAUUGAAUCCAAAUAGCUUUUCAGUUGCUUUCAGUGGCAUCUCACAUUGUUGGAUAUCCACGUAUGGGCCCCAAGAGAGAGCUGAAAUUGCUCUCGAAUCGUUCUGGGACGGCAAGAGCACCGCCGAAGAUUUGCAAAAGGUGGCUGCUGAUCUCAGAUCAUCCAUCUGGAAACAGAUGUCCGAUGCUGGCAUUAAGUACAUCUCUAGCAACACAUUUUCGUACUACGAUCAAGUUCUCGACACCACCGCCAUGCUCGGUGCCGUCCCCGCAAGAUACAACUAGAACGACGGUGAAAUCGGUUUCGACACUUACUUCUCCAUGGCUAGAGGAAACGCUUCGGUUCCUGCUAUGGAAAUGGCCAAGUGGUUUGACACCAACUCCUGAAGCAUUCAAAACGCUAACUUCCUUGCCUGGCGUUAGCGGUUACACUUUUGAUUUGGUCCGUGGUGAAAAGACUCUCGGUUUGAUCAAAAGCAGCUUCCGGUCAGGCAGAGGAGAUGGCGGGCCCCUCAUCUUGCACCGAUUUAGCUCGUGCAGUUGAUGAAAACGGGCCCACAGAUGAUGAGGAACAAGCACCUUUAUUAGCAACAGCAGAAAAAAUGUGCACCGAUUUAGCUCGUGCCAUUUUGCCCUUUUGCCCUUUAUGCUUUUGCGGGGCGAACCGGUACACUCCGCUGGAGUAGAAAAAAUGAGUUUGAAUGCAGGGAGUUUAGAGAAUUAAUUCUUGAAACUAUGCCACAUCACUGGGUGGUAUAAAGCAAUUGUUUCUCAAAUUUCCUCUUUUUAAUCAGUUGAAAAGUUCCGUCUUGGGCAGGAUAGGUGAGAUGAUACACCUAGAAAAAUUUCAAACUACCCGUUCCACAAGCCAAGAGGAAAGCCAUCCUCCAGGAAAAGACCCAACUAAAAAGAUUUCGAAUUUUAUCGGAAAAGCUGCAAAUUUUGCUAAAUCAGCCAAGAGUAAGAAGGCAUCAUCAUAUGUUCCUACAUAUCAUCCCAACUAAUGAUGGCCAUAACCAUCGGAAAGGAAGCCAUGGAGAUACCGUCUUUUUAACAAAUCAUGGGGAGGUAUACAUCUUACAGUGCUCUAUCUAGCAAAUUGUUGGAAACUAAGGCCAUGUGGUGUGAUCAUGUGAAGCGGUAUGGCAAUGGCAGCUACGGACUGGUUAUAAUCUACUCAACAUGGGGCAGCUAACGAAGGCAUGGCUAGUUUUGAAACUCUGUACCAAGUAUUUGAUGUUAGGAUAUAAACUCUUUAUAUUACAUAUGAAUUAUGUUAACAUAACUCGAGUUUUUGAUGUUUGAGUUUGUAACUCUUAAGUGGAAUGUUAUUAUAUAUAUUGAAAAUA